rnacentral:snoRNA from 1 species
UUGUAUGAUGAUUUUUUUAUAUUCACACUGUACGAGGAGUUAAUAGCUUCCCUGACUACACCAAAAAAAAAACUGAUUUAAUGACUCUGAUA